rnacentral:tRNA from 1 species
GGGGGCGGGCUUAAGACCCGUUGGCGUAGGCCUGCGUGGGUUCAAAUCCCACCCCCCGCACCA